AGAACCAAUGCCAUCCUCAAGACUGCUUGGUUAACUCCUCAUUCCCGGCAUUAAUUGCUCACAACAACUUAUCUCAACCCCUUGGUAUUCCAAACUACAUAAGACCCCAUUUUACUGAAUUCACAAGGACAAAAAGCAGUUAUGGUCUUGGCCAUCAAAGCUAUAGCAGCAAUGCUUGGAAACUGCUCCUUCUGGAAGUUGUGUACUGCUGCCUUUGAACUCUGAGGUUCACAAAUCACCACAGCUUCAGGCUUCUUUUUGGAAGAAGAGGCUGGUUUAUGACACCACCUUUGGAUCCAAGCAUGCGAAAGUGUUAUGUCUUGACUUUUCCUCACUGAGUCGGUGGACGAGGAUUCAGCAUUCCUCAGUAAUUCUGCAGUCUGAUCCGUCACCAUCCGUUCUUUACAAUAAGACUUGUCCAUCUUUGGUUCUGAACUAGUUUUGCAAGAGCUAGGUAUUUUGCCGAAGAACCUGUUAACUUUUUCAUGGGAAGUGGCUUCCCCC
rnacentral:misc_RNA from 1 species